GCUCAGAUUGAACGCUGGCGGCAUGCUUACACAUGCAAGUCGAACGGCAGCACGGGUGCUUGCACUGGUGGCGAGUGGCGAACGGGUGAGUAAUACAUCGGAACAUGUCCUGUAGUGGGGGAUAGCCCGGCGAAAGCCGGAUUAAUACCGCAUACGAUCUAUGGAUGAAAGCGGGGGACUUUCGGGCCUCGCGCUAUAGGGUUGGCCGAUGGCUGAUUAGCUAGUUGGUGGGGUAAAGGCCUACCAAGGCGACGAUCAGUAGCUGGUCUGAGAGGACGACCAGCCACACUGGGAAUGAGACACGGCCCAGACUCCUACGGGAGGCAGCAGUGGGGAAUUUUGGACAAUGGGCGAAAGCCUGAUCCAGCAAUGCCGCGUGUGUGAAGAAGGCCUUCGGGUUGUAAAGCACUUUUGUCCGGAAAGAAAUCCUUGGCUCUAAUACAGCCGGGGGAUGACGGUACCGGAAGAAUAAGCACCGGCUAACUACGUGCCAGCAGCCGCGGUAAUACGUAGGGUGCAAGCGUUAAUCGGAAUUACUGGGCGUAAAGCGUGCGCAGGCGGUUUGCUAAGACCGAUGUGAAAUCCCCGGGCUCAACCUGGGAACUGCAUUGGUGACUGGCAGGCUAGAGUAUGGCAGAGGGGGGUAGAAUUCCACGUGUAGCAGUGAAAUGCGUAGAGAUGUGGAGGAAUACCGAUGGCGAAGGCAGCCCCCUGGGCCAAUACUGACGCUCAUGCACGAAAGCGUGGGGAGCAAACAGGAUUAGAUACCCUGGUAGUCCACGCCCUAAACGAUGUCAACUAGUUGUUGGGGAUUCAUUUCCUUAGUAACGUAGCUAACGCGUGAAGUUGACCGCCUGGGGAGUACGGUCGCAAGAUUAAAACUCAAAGGAAUUGACGGGGACCCGCACAAGCGGUGGAUGAUGUGGAUUAAUUCGAUGCAACGCGAAAAACCUUACCUACCCUUGACAUGGUCGGAAUCCUGAAGAGAUUCGGGAGUGCUCGAAAGAGAACCGGCGCACAGGU
rnacentral:rRNA from 1 species